rfam:Mycobacterium rhodesiae NBB3, complete genome.
UCGGUCCCGGUUCACGCCGAAACCUCCUGGUCAACGGAGGGGCGACCCGGGGCC